rnacentral:rRNA from 1 species
GGGCGAGCCGCCGGGGACUACUGAACUUCAUGCCUGAGAGUGAUGCAGUCUGAGUCUGAAUAUAAAAUCAGUCAAAACUUUCAACAAUGGAUCUCUUGGUUCCGGCAUCGAUGAAGAACGCAGCGAACUGCGAUAAGUAAUGUGAAUUGCAGAAUUCAGUGAAUCAUCGAGUCUUUGAACGCACAUUGCGCCCCCUGGCAUUCCGGGGGGCAUGCCUGUCCGAGCGUCAUUGCUGCCCAUCAAGCCCGGCUUGUGUGUUGGGUCGUCGUCCCCCCCGGGGGACGGGCCCGAAAGGCAGCGGCGGCACCGUGUCCGGUCCUCGAGCGUAUGGGGCUUUGUCACCCGCUCGAUUAGGGCCGGCCGGGCGCCAGCCGACGUCUCCAACCAUUUUCUUCAGGUUGACCUCGGAUCAGGUAGGGAUACCCGCUGAACUUAAGCAUAUCAAUAAGCUGGA